UAUUCGAUGAGUGCUCAAGUGUAGAGGGUUUCCGCCCUUUAGUGCUGAAGUUAACGCAUUAAAGCACUCCGCCUGGGGAGUACGGCCGCAAGGCUGAAACUCAAAGGAAUUGACGCGGGCCCGCACAAGCGGUGGAGCAUGUGGUUUAAUUCGAAGCAACGCGAAGAACCUUACCAGGUCUUGACAUCCUCUGACAACCCUAGAGAUAGGGCUUCUCCUUCGGGAGCAGAGUGACAGGUGGUGCAUGGUUGUCGUCAGCUCGUGUCGUGAGAUGUUGGGUUAAGUCCCGCAACGAGCGCAACCCUUGAUCUUAGUUGCCAUCAUUUAGUUGGGCACUCUAAGGUGACUGCCGGUGACAAACCGGAGGAAGGUGGGGAUGACGUCAAAUCAUCAUGCCCCUUAUGACCUGGGCUACACACGUGCUACAAUCGACGGUACAAAGAGCUGCAAGACCGCGAGGUGGAGCUAAUCUCAUAAAACCGUUCUCAGUUCGGAUUGUAGGCUGCAACUCGCCUACAUGAAGCUGGAAUCGCUAGUAAUCGCGGAUCAGCAUGCCGCGGUGAAUACGUU
rnacentral:rRNA from 1 species